rnacentral:rRNA from 1 species
GAUGAACGCUGGCGGCGUGCCUAAUACAUGCAAGUCGAACGAAACUUCUUUAUCACCGAGUGCUUGCACUCACCGAUAAAGAGUUGAGUGGCGAACGGGUGAGUAACACGUGGGCAACCUGCCCAAAAGAGGGGGAUAACACUUGGAAACAGGUGCUAAUACCGCAUAACCAUAGUUACCGCAUGGUAACUAUGUAAAAGGUGGCUAUACUACCGCUUUUGGAUGGGCCCGCGGCGCAUUAGCUAGUUGGUAGGGUAAAGGCUUACCAAGGCAAUGAUGCGUAGCCGAAUUGAGAGGUUGAUCGGCCACAUUGGGACUGAGACACGGCCCAAACUCCUACGGGAGGCAGCAGUAGGGAAUCUUCCACAAUGGGCGAAAGCCUGAUGGAGCAACGCCGCGUGGGUGAAGAAGGUCUUCGGAUCGUAAAGCCCUGUUGUUAGAGAAGAAAGUGCGUGAGAGUAACUGUUCACGUUUCGACGGUAUCUAACCAGAAAGCCACGGCUAACUACGUG